GAACUUAAAGUAUAAUAAAUUAAAAAAAAAAAAAAGAAGAAGAAAGUACUCUAGGGAACCCAUUGCUUGUCAACCAUCUGGCACCAAAACCUAAGCUCUGAAUGAUGCCAAAUUACCACCAAAGUCUCUAAGGGACAGAUGCAAAUUCUCUCUCCUGGGACCUAGCACAGUGCUUGCACAGAGCAGGUCCUGACAGGUUUUUGUUGAGUAGAAUUGCAAAGGGAUUAUCAUCGUUAUCAUCCCAUGGAUAACACUGUUUGCUUCUUUGCCUUCAUGGGUUGACUUUUUUUGUGUCCUGGGCCUGAAUUGUCUUCUAAAUACUAGAGCUCUGUGGCCGAUUAUGUUAACAUUCUGAUUUCAUUAACCUAAAUGCAUUUCUAGAUGAAAGCUUUGAUAUGCAGCUUCAACAACUGGUGCCGGUGUGAACUGGCAAGGCCCCAGCGUUACUGUGCUGUCGUCGUCUUUCAUCCCAAAGCCCUUGAGGAGCAGUGAGAACUCAGCGCUGUGGUGAAACAUUUCCUAUGAAUAGUCAUGAGACUUGCUUCCUUCUGGUGCAGAAGAAACUGUUACCAAGCAAGGGCUGGAGAAGCCAAUACUAUGGCAAUGGCUUCUGAGAUAAGAAAAAACCUUAUCACCAGUUGACUGGCAAAGACACAGGAGGCAACAUUCAACUCGAUUGCCAGGAUCUGGGUGGUUGGGUCAAAUUUUUGUGGCAUUUCUAACUAGGCCCAGUCCCCCAUGGCAGCCAGUCUGCUAUGCUGGCAGUGCUAACAAUGAGGAGGUUAAACUCAUCCUAUGGCACGUACCAGGGCAAUUUUGUCUGUGUGACAUAGUCAAAGGUGAGGCUGAACACCCUAACAGCUGUUCAGCUGAGGUUGUAACAACUUAGGCAAUGGUUAAUUGGUUUGAGCCGGUCCCAUGGUUACAAAACCAGCACUAUUAUUUUUCUUUUCAUAUACUCUCUUCCAGAUAUGCCAUAAACAUUCCGGUCCCUCUCACCAACGUGUCAAGGGACUCAGUUGCUGAGUGCGUCCACUCAAGGAGCAGUGUCAGGAGGAAGCUGAGUCCUGGGCUGGAGCUGCUGCAUCUGUGUGGCUCCCACUGUCAUUUCAGCAGCCCCGACACAGGUAUACCUCUGUGUCUGAGUUCAUAACCUCACUUGCAGAUAGCUCAAAAGCCCGUAUUAGAGGCCCUUUAUGAAUCUGGUGACUGGAUCUAUCCCCACCCAUGGCUGGUCCCUUGUUCCCAUCCCCAUCAUGUCCCUGCCAUGUCAUGAUGGUCAGAGGGCUGAACUGUGGCUUAUUACGUAUGUCUUAGACUAAUGCCAGACUAUCCACUUCCUGCGCAACCACGGAGGAGACUCCCUUUGACUUCAAAUUGAGCCUGGAGCUUUGAUCUGCCCUGAGAGGCUCACACUCAGCUGCAGGACUCUGUUCUGGUCUGAAGCAACUCUUCCGGGUUGGGAAAGUCUUUCCUACCCAGCCGACAGUAAACCACGCUAUUUGGCUUGAGUUAUAUCUAUGGUUUCCCCACAUGCACUAGGAUUGUGGGGAACACCCUCUAUGUAUAUGCUUGGACAUGCUCAUCUGCAGCAAUAGGGAAAGAAGAGAUUCCCCAGGGAGCCUCUUUGGCUUGGACACGUGAUAAACUCCUCUAAAGCCACAGAGUCAGGAGUAGGAGGUGCCGUGAUGUCCAAACACAGAAGCACAUGAUUUGAUUUUCAUUGUGAUAAUAUGAGGAACUGCCAGCGCCCUUUUUUUAAAACAACAGAGACCACAAUACGAAUACAUUUACCAGAUUUUGGUUUUAGAGAACAAUGGACCUGAGGGACUCAUUUCUUUGGAAUCUGCUUCUUCUACAGCUUGGAGUUUUGGGGGGACCCAAACUGGGGCCUCCCAUAAGGCCAACCGAUGUCUGAGGCAAAACCUUGCUGGAUUUCCUUUCUAAGACCUUUUCUCUAAGAAUUUCAAAUUUGUUUUGAGAGAGUUAAGGAGUUAGCACUUCCCUGACAACACUGAAGAAAAAAAGGGCUUCCAUUUCUUCUGGAAGUGGAAGAUCUGAGCCCUGUGGCCUGUUCUGCAUCCUUGGUGGUGGACUGAUUCCUACCCCAGCGUUCACAGACAGCUGAAAAUGUGAAGCGAUGCUGAGGAACAGGGAGUGACGCAGUUAGAGCUCGCUAAAGAACUCGGUAACCCAGAAAUUCUUCAUGUGUAAAAAUGCCUACCCGUUCAGAAACAGCAGAUGAGAAGGAGCAGGCAAAAUAACAUAGAGUCUCUAAUAUUGCUAAAGGAAUAAAAAUACUUUUUUCACAUCAA